CCUACGGGUGGCUGCAGUGGGGAAUAUUGGACAAUGGGGGCUACCCUGAUCCAGCCAUGCCGCGUGUGUGAAGAAGGCCCUCGGGUUGUAAAGCACUUUCAGUGAGGAAGAACGCCUGGUGGUUAAUACCCAUCAGGAAAGACAUCACUCACAGAAGAAGCACCGGCUAACUCCGUGCCAGCAGCCGCGGUAAUACGGAGGGUGCGAGCGUUAAUCGGAAUUACUGGGCGUAAAGCGCGCGUAGGUGGCUUGAUAAGCCGGUUGUGAAAGCCCCGGGCUCAACCUGGGAACGGCAUCCGGAACUGUCAAGCUAGAGUGCAGGAGAGGAAGGUAGAAUUCCCGGUGUAGCGGUGAAAUGCGUAGAGAUCGGGAGGAAUACCAGUGGCGAAGGCGGCCUUCUGGACUGACACUGACACUGAGGUGCGAAAGCGUGGGUAGCAAACAGGAUUAGAUACCCGAGUAGUC
rnacentral:rRNA from 1 species